rnacentral:rRNA from 1 species
GACCAAACGGGGCUUCGCUCCGGCGCAAAGAGAGGCCCAAGUGAGAUUAGCUAGUUGGUGAGGCCAAGGCUCACCAAGGCAACGAUCUCUAGCUGUUCUGAGAGGAAGAUCAGCCACACUGGGACUGAGACACGGCCCAGACUCCUACGGGAGGCAGCAGUGGGGAAUAUUGCACAAUGGGGGAAACCCUGAUGCAGCCAUGCCGCGUGUGUGAAGAAGGCUUCGGGUUGUAAAGCACUUUCAGUUGUGAGGAAAAGUUAGUAGUUNAUACCUGCUAGCCGUGACGUUAACAACAGAAGAAGCACCGGCUAACUCCGUGCCAGCAGCCGCGGUAAUACGGAGGGUGCGAGCGUUAAUCGGAAUUACUGGGCGUAAAGCGCACGCAGGCGGUUUGUUAAGCUAGAUGUGAAAGCCCCGGGCUCAACCUGGGACGGUCAUUUAGAACUGGCAGACUAGAGUCUUGGAGAGGGGAGUGGAAUUCCAGGUGUAGCGGUGAAAUGCGUAGAUAUCUGGAGGAACAUCAGUGGCGAAGGCGACUCCCUGGCCACAGACUGACGCUCACG